rnacentral:lncRNA from 1 species
GAUAACUUGUGGAAAACUUUGUAAGUUAAAGAUCUGGGCCAGCCUUCCCCACAGGCUCCCUGGAUGGGUGGGGUUUCUCCCGGAGCCAGUUUUCUUCAUGAAAGACACAUUCUUGCCCUGCCAAGUAGGGGAAUAAAUUAGAUCCGUGAGGUUUGGGAACGCACCUUGGGUUUCUUUACUUUGCGUGGAGAUUUGUACACAUUUAGGUAUUUAGGUGUGUAAAAAGCAGUGCAAGUAUUGACUACCAUGUUUAGGAAAUGGAGUAGUAAAUCUAGCACCAGAAGAAACCAGAGUGUGGCAUAGGCUGAAAAAUCCCAUUUUAUGCUGUGUCCUAUCUCCUAAAAUGAAAGGCAUCUCUUUCUAAGUUUGGUGUGUGGUAUGAUCACUCUGGAGGGGGUUCAUAUCUCCUCAAUUCAUAUGCAUAUUCAUAUCCCUUGAAAAAUAUGAAGUGAUGAAAUAUCAUGAGUUUGGCUGUGCUAUCUGGAGA